rnacentral:rRNA from 1 species
UUAGAGUUUGAUUCCUGGCUCAGAUUGAACGCUGGCGGCAGGCCUAACACAUGCAAGUCGAGCGGCAGCACGGGUACUUGUACCUGGUGGCGAGCGGCGGACGGGUGAGUAAUGCCUAGGAAUCUGCCUGGUAGUGGGGGAUAACGCUCGGAAACGGACGCUAAUACCGCAUACGUCCUACGGGAGAAAGCAGGGGACCUUCGGGCCUUGCGCUAUCAGAUGAGCCUAGGUCGGAUUAGCUAGUUGGUGAGGUAAUGGCUCACCAAGGCGACGAUCCGUAACUGGUCUGAGAGGAUGAUCAGUCACACUGGAACUGAGACACGGUCCAGACUCCUACGGGAGGCAGCAGUGGGGAAUAUUGGACAAUGGGCGAAAGCCUGAUCCAGCCAUGCCGCGUGUGUGAAGAA